UACGGGGGGGGCAAGCGUUGUUCGGAAUUACUGGGCGUAAAGGGCUCGUAGGUUGCCAACUAAGUCAGACGUGAAAUCCCUCAGCUUAACUGGGGAACUGCGUCUGAUACUGGAUGGCUGGAGUUUGGGAGAGGGAUGCGGAAUUCCUGGUGUAGCGGUGAAAUGCGUAGAUAUCAGGAGGAACACCUGCGGUGUAGACGGCUUACUGGACCAUAACUGACGCUGAGGCACGAAAGCGUGGGUAGCAAACAGG
rnacentral:rRNA from 1 species